GCCACACAGUAGUAGCUUUCUUUUCUCUUGUUUUGACGGCGUUUCCUUCCUUGUUCCAUCAGAUGUUUCAAAUUGACUAUCAUUACUUUUAUUGCCUGACAACCUUUCCUUCUUUUGUUAAUUCCAAUUAGCUUCAUCGUGACAUUGCUUUGCCGUUUGUCACUGCUAGUUUUUUUUGGUGCUCUUACAUUGAAGUCCACGUCUGGAUUUGAGUCAUACACAAGGGGUUUUUACUAAACAUAAAGUGGUACCGGAACACAAUAUUUGAGCCACAUUUUGUUUGUUUUGGUCUUGCCUUCGGCCUUGAUGGGCUGGAUUUAGAAUGUUUUUUUCAAGGCCAGGAAAGACAACAGCUGCAACAACUUUCUUAUUUAAACUGCAUCUGGGUUUAAAGCUACUGACUUCAUUCAAGUGUAACUAAUAAAAUAUUUUACUUAGGACAUUUCAUUGCUGUCAUCUGCAUGUCUGCAAGUUGAGAAAUCGUGCCAAAACAGACAUUUUCCAGUACAAAUACAUAGAAUUACCUGGAUUAUUGUUAAGAAAGUUAGAUUAUUGCACUCUUCAGAGAUGUCUGGUUUGUCUGAUUUGUCGCACGUAGUUUAUUCUUUGCAACACAUUUGUACUAAUUUCAUGAUCUGCAGUAUCAUUGGUUUUGUAAUAUGUGAUCAUAUCUACACAUAAUUUUUUCCUGCUUUACUCCAUGAUAUCUUCCUUGCAAGCAGCCAGCUUUUGUUGUGAUGUUGGAUCUUCAGACAUUUUGUCAUUUAAUGGCGGCAGUUUAUUUUUUUAUGUUUUAUUUGACCAGGAGAUUUUAAUGUGCCAUAGAAGACAUAAUCUUGGGCACGUGCCCAAGUAAAACAGGUCUAGCAAUGCCUACUGUCUUCACUGAUAUGAAAGAAGGUGUGCAAGAUUGUGCAGAUCUCCCAGAAAGUGAAAGGUUAAUAGUGUGCAACAACCUCUUUAGGAUUUAGACAAUGUUUCUUUUUUGUUUUAAAUGCCACCCAACAUUCACCAGGUGCAGCUUUUAACCACAGACUGUCAGGUGUCUGCAGCAUGUUUUGAUUUCCUCUGGCUGACCUCAUAAGAGAAGUCAGAGACAUGAUGGAGGGAAAUAGUGAAUAAUGCAUUGUUAGAUUUAUUAUGAAGCGAGUGAGAGAAUAACAAAAAGAGAAGACACACACAGCAAUGACUCAAGUAAAUGUAAUUUUAAUCAACUUUAAUAUUUAUGAAGGAACAUUUAUUCAAUACAGAAAGCAAAAGAACAUUAUUAAACAUUUUUGCACUUCUGAUCAUUUAUUUACAGUCAUUACACCAGAAAUACACAAAAUAGAUACAGAUUUAUGUUAAACAGUUAACAGUCAUUAAAUAAAAUUUAAAGACUAAAUCAAAGCAACAGAAAUGUGUUUCCACAUGAUAAGAGAAGGUAAUGUUUACGUGUGAUUCUGUUUAUGUUUAAGUGUGUGUGUGGAAAUGAGAACAGUCCCCUGUUCCUGCUGAACUGAGCCAGCCGACGUCACACACUGAUUAUCAGCACAGCAGGCACAGGAGACCGACCCAGCGGGGAGUGAGGCGAAGCGAUGACGGAGGUAAUUUUUCACACACACAGACAGACACAAUCACACAGCAUCAGACCAACAGGCAGUGAUGCUCUUUUGAAAAAAAGAAGAAAAAAAAAACCUAACAGGUGGAAGCAUAGGGAAAAUGUGAAGACAAACAGAGUCAAAGAAACACACACUUGCUCAAAACGACUCAUUCAGCCCAGCUACAGAAAUUAUGACAUAAGGUGACACUCAGCUCUCCCUACAGGGGCGGCAACAGAUUUACUCUUAAUGAGACAGCUGACAUUUAGCAGACACCGACGCUCCGAUGCUGCUCAGUUUCAGCAAAUUCAACAGAUUACAGCUUUUUACUGGAAAUUUAUAGAUUGUAAACUCUUUUUCUUCACUGACUUUCCCUCUCCUUUAUGAUAUGUCAGCUUCUGACAAUACUGUACAGUGAGUCAUCUGUGAACACAUGUACUCCAUCAAACACCGUCAGCCCUGAACACAUGGGGUUGAUUUUGAAAUAACGAGGUGUGAGACUGAGUUCGGAAAGUUAUAGUCAAUCUGAGAAAAUCAUUUCUUUGAUGUCGUAAUAUUUUUAAAGAAAUCAGAUUUAGAAUCAGCUUUAUUCGCCAAGUUUGUGCACACACACACACACACACACACACACACGCUCACGCACACACAAACACAAUAGAAACUUGUCCUUUUUAUCACUAUACUCCCAGUGAAGUCAUUUAAAAUAUAAAUACAUAAAAGGCAAAAUAAAAAAUACAUGUUUUUGUCUUUCUUGUAAAUAUGUUUAUAUUGUUGCGAUCUUUCCUCGUCAUGGUUUAAAUUUAGCUUAGAAAUACUAAUCAAAUUUUGAGGCUUUUCUUAUAUUUAAAGUCAAAUAGUUUUGAUUUUUGUUUUACAGAAAUAGAGUGAAAACAAAAUCGGUCAAAGGGUUUUGACUGAGUUGGAAGUUGGAACAUUAUAAGCUGUUAGCAUCUUAGCCGUGGUAUUCUCUUGCUUUCUUUAUUUUGUAUUAAUCUAGACAGUCCAAGAGGUUCUAAGACCAAAAGCAAACACUUAUACUUUCUAAUACUUUAGGACAAUUUUAAAAUAAUAAAAAAAACAACAUAUCUUGUUUCUUUCCAAUAAAAUAGAAAUCAAGAUAAGAGGCUUCGCACCACUCGGGAUCUUCCUGUAUCAAAUAUUUACUCUGACUGGAAACACUUUACAUGUUCUGUUCUCACUAUGUGUUUCACACAGGAAGGCCACUGGUGGUGCACCGCCCCUGACUUUCAUUUCUCCUGACAAAAAAACAAACAUCCAAUGCUGAUGCGACUUAAAUGAAAAGGUUUGGAUACUAUUUUAUGCAAAUAAAAUAGUAUUUGCAUUAACUGCAACAAUGUUGUUUUUUUAAAUUUAAUUUAAUUUUGUCGUUGAUGGUAAAUGUCCAGUCUGGUCUUGACCCCUCUUAGCGUCAUGAACAACUAUUCUGUGUGUUUACUGCUAUAUGAAGACUCCAACAGUAGUACACUUCAGCCCCCGCUUUGAACUCCCCCCAUCUGGCCUCGAUUUGUCUGAUAGAGGUGCCCCCUGCUGUCCCCAGAGGCUUCUUGCUCUUUCUGCUGACAUAAACAACUACUCAUCCGUACCACCCAUGCAUCCAUCCAGGCAGCAGAGCAGACUUCCAGCUAAACCAGUCCGUUGACCUUCAGGCCAGCCAGAUGUUAAAACAGGGUCUGUCUGGGGGAGAAACCUGGUGAACAGAUGAGUUCCCAGAAAACAAAAACAGAAAAUCGGAGGAUCUUCUUCAUGUCGAGACACUGAAAUGUUCACAUUCAGAUGACAAGGAUGAAGUUUCAGUUGUCUGUAAAGGAAAUGGUAGGAGGCUGUACACAGGCAAUAAUCUUCCUGUCACAGCAUGUCCUGAGAGGGGAAUGUGUAAAGAACAUCCGGUCAGCGCAACUGUGGGAUAUAAAAGUGAAGCUAUAAA